rnacentral:rRNA from 1 species
CACGUAGGGCGCGAGCGUUGUCCGGAAUUAUUGGGCGUAAAGAGCUCGUAGGCGGUUUGGCAAGUCGGGUGUGAAAACUCCGGGCUCAACUCGGAGACGCCACUCGAUACUGCUAUGACUCGAGUCCGGUAGGGGAGUGCGGAAUUCCUGGUGUAGCGGUGAAAUGCGCAGAUAUCAGGAGGAACACCGGUGGCGAAGGCGGCACUCUGGGCCGGUACUGACGCUGAGGAGCGAAAGCGUGGGGAGCGAACAGG